GAGUUUGAUCGUGGCUCAGGAUGAACGCUGGCGGCGUGCCUAAUACAUGCAAGUCGAGCGAACGGACGAGAAGCUUGCUUCUCUGAUGUUAGCGGCGGACGGGUGAGUAACACGUGGAUAACCUACCUAUAAGACUGGGAUAACUUCGGGAAACCGGAGCUAAUACCGGAUGAUAUUUUGAACCGCAUGGUUCAAAAGUGAAAGACGGUCUUGCUGUCACUUAUAGAUGGAUCCGCGCUGCAUUAGCUAGUUGGUAAGGUAACGGCUUACCAAGGCAACGAUGCAUAGCCGACCUGAGAGGGUGAUCGGCCACACUGGAACUGAGACACGGUCCAGACUCCUACGGGAGGCAGCAGUAGGGAAUCUUCCGCAAUGGGCGAAAGCCUGACGGAGCAACGCCGCGUGAGUGAUGAAGGUCUUCGGAUCGUAAAACUCUGUUAUUAGGGAAGAACAUAUGUGUAAGUAACUGUGCACAUCUUGACGGUACUAAUCAGAAAGCCACGGCUAACUACG
rnacentral:rRNA from 1 species